UACGUAGGGGGCUAGCGUUGUCCGGAAUCAUUGGGCGUAAAGAGCGUGUAGGCGGCCCGGUAAGUCCGCUGUAAAAGUCAAAGGCUCAACCUUUGAAUGUCAGUGGAUACUGCCGGGCUAGAGUCCGGAAGAGGCGAGUGGAACUCCUGGUGUAGCGGUGGAAUGCGCAGAUAUCAGGAAGAACACCCGUGGCUAAGGCGGCUCUCUAGUACGGUACUGACGCUGAGACGCGAAAGCGUGGGGAGCGAACAGG
rnacentral:rRNA from 1 species